rnacentral:snoRNA from 1 species
AAGACUAUACUUUCAGGGAUCAUUUCUAUAGUAUGUAAUCUUGCAAUCUUGUAACCUAUUAUUAACUACAAAUAAAAAU